rnacentral:rRNA from 1 species
GACGAACGCUGGCGGCGUGCUUAACACAUGCAAGUCGAACGGUUAAGCGCCUUCCUUUUUUGUAGUCGUGGAUGAGUGGCUAACUGGUGAGUAACACGUGAGUAACCUGCCCCCUUCUUCUGGAUAACCGCAUGAAUGUUUGGCUAAUACUGGAUAUUCUGAGUCUGUCGCAUGUUGGGUCUUCGAGAUAUCUUGUUUCGGUGGGUGAUGUGCUCGCGGCCUAUCAGUUUGUUGGUGGGGUGAUGGCCUACCAAGGCUGUUACGGGUAGCCGGUCUGAGAGGGUGGACAGUCACACUGGGACAGAGAGACGGGCCAGACUCGGACGGGAGGCAGCAGUGAGGAAUAUCGAAGAACGGGAGCAAGCCUGAGGCAGCGAGGCUGCGUGAAGAAGGGAGGCGUUCGGGUUGUGAACCUAUUUCGGGAGUGAAGGAAGCAUGCCUAGUUUGUGGGUGGGUUGACGGUAGAUGAAUAAGAAGCGCCGGCUAACUACGU